rnacentral:rRNA from 1 species
UACGAAGGGGGCUAGCGUUGCUCGGAAUUACUGGGCGUAAAGCGCACGUAGGCGGAUUGUUAAGUCGGGGGUGAAAUCCUGGAGCUCAACUCCAGAACUGCCUUCGAUACUGGCGAUCUCGAGUUCGGGAGAGGUGAGUGGAACUGCGAGUGUAGAGGUGAAAUUCGUAGAUAUUCGCAAGAACACCAGUGGCGAAGGCGGCUCACUGGCCGAUACUGACGCUGAGGUGCGAAAGCGUGGGGAGCAAACAGGAU